CUGCUGCCUCCCGUAGGAGUUUGGGCCGUGUCUCAGUCCCAAUGUGGCCGUCCACCCUCUCAGGCCGGCUACUGAUCGUCGGCUUGGUGGGCCGUUACCCCGCCAACUACCUAAUCAGACGCGGGCCCAUCUUACACCACCGGAGUUUUCCGCACCAGACCAUGCGGCCCUGUGCGCAUAUGCGGUAUUAGCAGCCGUUUCCAGCUGUUCGUCCCCCUGUGUAAGGCAGGUUGCCCACGCGUUACUCACCCGUCCGCCACU
rnacentral:rRNA from 1 species